rnacentral:rRNA from 1 species
CAGCCGCCGCGGUAAUACGUAGGGUGCAAGCGUUAAUCGGAAUUACUGGGCGUAAAGCGUGCGCAGGCGGUUCGCUAAGACAGAUGUGAAAUCCCCGGGCUUAACCUGGGAACUGCAUUUGUGACUGGCGGGCUAGAGUAUGGCAGAGGGGGGUAGUAUUCUACGUGUAGCAGUGAAAUGCGUAGAGAUGUGGAGGAAUACCGAUGGCGAAGGCAGCCCCCUGGGCCAAUACUGACGCUCAUGCACGAAAGCGUGGGGAGCAAACAGGAUUAGAUACCCGCGUAGUCCCUGUCUCUUAUAC